rnacentral:rRNA from 1 species
UACGUAGGGUGCAAGCGUUGUCCGGAAUUAUUGGGCGUAAAGAGCUCGUAGGCGGCCUGUUGCGUCCGCUGUGAAAGCCCGGGGCUUAACCCCGGGUCUGCAGUGGAUACGGGCAGGCUAGAGGUAGGUAGGGGAGAAUGGAAUUCCCGGUGUAGCGGUGAAAUGCGCAGAUAUCGGGAGGAACACCGGUGGCGAAGGCGGUUCUCUGGGCCUGACCUGACGCUGAGGAGCGAAAGCGUGGGGAGCGAACAGG